rnacentral:misc_RNA from 1 species
UGGCUUAUCAAUCAAAUAAUACAGAAAUUCUAUCUUCUCCCUAAGUUCUCUAUCUCUCUGUUUUGCGUUUCAAUUCCUUCCUUUGGCUUCUCCUUAAUACAGAAAUACACCAUCUCUCGAUCCCUCUGUUUCUUCCCUUCUCUUUCUUCUCCUCCUCCCAUUUAUUCUAUUUCUUCUCCCUUUUCCUCUGUUCUUCUAUUGGUUGUGGUCAGUCCACAAAAUC